GGGGAACUUGAGUGCAGAAGAGGAGAGUGGAAUUCCACGUGUAGCGGUGAAAUGCUAAUAGAUGUGGAGGAACACCAGUGGCGAAGGCGACUCUCUGGUCUGUAACUGACGCUGAGGAGCGAAAGCGUGGGGAGCGAACAGGAUUAGAUACCCUGGUAGUCCACGCCGUAAACGAUGAGUGCUAAGUGUUAGGGGGUUUCCGCCCCUUAGUGCUGCAGCUAACGCAUUAAGCACUCCGCCUGGGGAGUACGGUCGCAAGACUGAAACUCAGAGGAAUUGACGGGGGCCCGCACAAGCGGUGGAGCAUGUGGUUUAAUUCGAAGCAACGCGAAGAACCUUACCAGGUCUUGACAUCCUCUGACAAUCCUAGAGAUAGGACGUCCCCUUCGGGGGCAGAGUGACAGGUGGUGCAUGGUUGUCGUCAGCUCGUGUCGUGAGAUGUUGGGUUAAGUCCCGCAACGAGCGCAACCCUUGAUCUUAGUUGCCAGCAUUCAGUUGGGCACUCUAAGGUGACUGCCGGUGACAAACCGGAGGAAGGUGGGGAUGACGUCAAAUCAUCAUGCCCCUUAUGACCUGGGCUACACACGUGCUACAAUGGACAGAACAGAGGGCAGCGAAACCGCGAGGUUAAGCGAAUCCCACAAAUCUGUUCUCAGUUCGGAUCGCAGUCUGCAACUCGACUGCGUGAAGCUGGAAUCGGU
rnacentral:rRNA from 1 species